GGGCUACUCCGAGUCUUUGUUAGAUAGAGUCGAGGCUUAUACUCCUCAGGUUCCAGAAUUAUUUACAGACAGAGUGCCCAGUGAUUGCCAAAGUGAAUUAACGGUAGAAAACGUCAAUUAAGGUGUGUUUUAUUAAAUUAAAGUGUGUUUUAUAAUUUUACUCUUAAUUUAUUAAUAAAUGUUAAUUUGUAGUAAAA